GAUCCGGUGGCUUAUUGUUAGAGCGUCCACCUUGGAUGCGGGAGGUCGUGGGUUCGAUCCCUGGAUCA